UACACUAGAGGGAGGAGUGAGAGGAAGUGGGUUAAAAAAACAGAACAGCACAGAAAGCUUACUUGCAGCUCCCCUCCUCUUCCCCAUAAGAAAAAUACUGACCGCAGUUGUGUACAGUUUGGACUUUCUUUACUCAUCAUAGCUCAACCUGAAUUUCCAGAAGGUCACCCACAGCCUCCCAGGAAAGCAUCCUUGCCCACUAUCUAACCACACUUCUUGGCAAACAUGCAGCUGUAAGUGGCAGGAUUUGGUCAAACCAGUGCAAGGACUAGAAGGCAAUGCAGAUGCUACUGAGUCACGGGGAACCUGGAGCCUAUCCCAGGGAGCAUCGGGCACAAGGCAGGGUACACCCUGGACACGGUGCCAGUCCAUCACAGGGCACAUGUGUAAAAGGUUUUAUUUUAAAAAGUCUUAGAUGCUUAUUUUAUGUCUUUUGAAUUACUACAUCAUACAAAAGAGCAAAGUCUGCAGAGAA
ensembl:lncRNA